rnacentral:rRNA from 1 species
ACACAUGCAGUCGACGAACCCUUCGGGGUUAGUGGCGCACGGGUGCGUAACGCGUGGGAACCUGCCUUUUGGUUCGGAAUAACAGUGAGAAAUUACUGCUAAUACCGGAUAAUGUCUUCGGACCAAAGAUUUAUCGCCAUUAGAUGGGCCCGCGUAAGAUUAGCUAGUUGGUGGGGUAAAGGCCUACCGAGGCGACGAUCUUUAGCUGGUCUGAGAGGAUGAUCAGCCACACUGGGACUGAGACACGGCCCAGACUCCUACGGGAGGCAGCAGUGGGGAAUAUUGGACAAUGGGCGAAUGCCUGAUCCAGCAAUGCCGCGUGAGUGAUGAAGGCCUUAGGGUUGUAAAGCUCUUUUACCCGAGAUGAUAAUGACAGUAUCGGGAGAAUAAGCUCCGGCUAACUCCGUGCCAGCAGCCGCGGUAAUACGGAGGGAGCUAGCGUUGUUCGGAAUUACUGGGCGUAAAGCGCACGUAGGCGGCUUUUUAAGUCAGGGGUGAAAUCCCGGGGCUCAACCCCGGAACUGCCCUUGAACUGGGAAGCUAGAAUCUUGGAGAGGCGAGUGGAAUUCCGAGUGUAGAGGUGAAAUUCGUAGAUAUUCGGAAGAACACCAGUGGCGAAAGCGACUCGCUGGACAAGUAUUGACGCUGAGGUGCGAAAGCGUGGGGA